rnacentral:misc_RNA from 1 species
AGUGUGCGUGCGGCGCCACCGACACACGCUACACCGGCGCGUCGACCUCGCACUUUAGUGCAUAGCACGACAAGUCUCUGAGAGACAAAACCUGUAUUGAAAAUACAAAUAUGAGCAUGAUGAGUUGUGACCGUAACCUGCAACAUCUGAAGUACCCCUACCCUCAAUACGAGCUCUGACCAUUCUACUCAGCACAGGAAUACUACACUACUCGGUAGCAGUAUUCUUUGGCUGUGAUCUUCUGUAAGAUUGAGGUACCUCAGUCGAUCUGCUUCAAAGAGCAAGAUGUCUCCUGCUUCUUGACCCACAUGAAGUACACGCACAUUUUUUUUUCAAAGAUUUUGUUACCUCAUCAUAACUUUUUAUGAUAUAUUUUUUGAUUCGAAAGUGAGUUUUUGUUAUGUGAUCCCCCAUUUAAAUACGAACGUGAUUACAUGUUUUUAAUAAUG